UACGAAGGUGGCGAGCGUUACUCGGAAUUACUAGGCGUAAAGCGUAUGUAGGUGGUUAUAUAAGUCUAUGGUGAAAUUUCCUGGCUCAACUGGGAAGGGUACAUAGAUACUGUAUGGCUUGAGUUUUAGAGGGGGAGACGGAAUUCCUGGUGUAGCGGUGAAAUGCGUAGAUAUCAGGAAGAACACCGAUGGCGAAAGCAGUCUCCUGGCUAAAUACUGACACUGAGGUACGAAAGCUAGGGUAGCAAAC
rnacentral:rRNA from 1 species